rnacentral:rRNA from 1 species
CCUACGGGUGGCAGCAGUAGGGAAUUUUGCGCAAUGGGCGAAAGCCUGACGCAGCAACGCCGCGUGAUCGAGACGCCCUUCGGGGUUUAAAGAUCUGUCAGUGGGGACGAAACUUGACGGUACCCACAGAGGAAGCACCGGCUAACUCCGUGCCAGCAGCCGCGGUCAUACGGGGGCUGCAAGCGUUGUCCGGAAUCAUUGGGCGUAAAGAGUUCGUAGGCGGCACGUAAAGUCUGGUGUUAAAGGCAGAGGCUCAAGUUCUGUAAGGUCGUGGAUACUUGCGAGCUAGAAUGCGGUAGAGGUAGAGGGAAGUCCUGGUGUAGCGGUGAAAUGCUUAGAUAUCAGGAGGAACAUCGAUGGCGUAAGCGGUUUACUGGGCCGUAAUUGACGCUGAGGAACGAAAGCGAGGGUAGCAAAUGGGAUUAGAUACCCCAGUAGUC